AGGAAGCGAGAAGUCGACGCGCCGCCCCCCGCAAGGGGGGAGAGGCGUCCGGCCCUCCGCGAGCGCCCGCGGGGGUUCGGGUUCCGGACCCGGUCCGAUCCCGUUCCCACCGCGGGGCUGUCCGCGAUCAUGGAGGUGUCCUCGGACGGCGUCGAAGCCCUCGAAAACUUCUCCGGUCCGCGACGCUACGGCUUGGAUGGUCCACCCGACCCGUCUUGAAACACGGACCAAGGAGUCUAACAUGCGCGCGAGUCGUUGGGUCGGACACGCUCCGCUAAACCCAUAGGCGCAAUGAAAGUGAAGGCCGCCGUCGGGGCGGCCGAGGGAGGACGGGGCCGAUUCGGGCGCUCCGGCGCCCGACGGUCCCCGCACCCCCGGGGCGUCUGAUCCCUCAUCGCGAGGGGAGGCGCACCCAGAGCGCACACGUUGGGACCCGAAAGAUGGUGAACUAUGCCUGGCCAGGACGAAGUCAGGGGAAACCCUGAUGGAGGUCCGUAGCGAUUCUGACGUGCAAAUCGAUCGUCGGAGCUGGGUAUAGGGGCGAAAGACUAAUCGAACCAUCUAGUAGCUGGUUCCCUCCGAAGUUUCCCUCAGGAUAGCUUGCGCUCGGAGGAGAGUCUCAUCCGGUAAAGCGAAUGAUUAGAGGCCUUGGGGCCGAAACGGCUUCAACCUAUUCUCAAACUUUAAAUGGGUGAGAACUCCGGCUUGCUCGACCGAUCGAAGCCGGAGACGGGGUCCCCCCCUUCGGGGGGAGGCCCCCGGGAUCGGAGUGCAUAGUGGGCCACUUUUGGUAAGCAGAACUGGCGCUGUGGGAUGAACCAAACGACGGGUUAAGGCGCCCGAAUCGACGCUCAUGGGAAACCAUGAAAGGUGUUGGUUGCUUAAGACAGCAGGACGGUGGCCAUGGAAGUCGGAAUCCGCUAAGGAGUGUGUAAUAACUCACCUGCCGAAGCAACUAGCCCUGAAAAUGGAUGGCGCUGAAGCGUCGUGCCUAUACCCGGCCGUCGCGGCAGGGCGGACCCGGCCUCGCGUCGGGUGCCGCUUGAUGCGGCGACGAGUAGGAGGGUCGCGGCGGCGCGCGCAGAAGGGUCUGGGCUCGAGCCUGCCUGGAGCCGCCGCCGGUGCAGAUCUUGGUGGUAGUAGCAAAUACUCCAGCGAGGCCCUGGAGGACUGAUGUGGAGAAGGGUUUCGUGUGAACAGCCGUUGCACACGAGUCAGUCGAUCCUAAGCCCUAGGAGAAAUCCGACGCCAACGGCGACGGGAAAAAUUUUUCAUUCAAAGAAACCCGUUGAUCGGGCGAAAGGGAAUCCGGUUCCUAUUCCGGAACCCGGCAGCGGAACCGCUGUUUGUCGGGCCCUCACAAGGGGUUCGUCAGGGUAACCUAAAAGGGCCCGGAGACGCCGUCGGGAGCCCCGGAAAGAGUUUUCUUUUCUGCAUGAGCGUUCGAGUUCCCUG
rnacentral:rRNA from 1 species